UACGAAGGGUGCUAGCGUUGUUCGGAAUUACUGGGCGUAAAGCGCGCGUAGGCGGCUAUUCAAGUCAGAGGUGAAAUCCCUGGGCUCAACCCAGGAACUGCCUUUGAAACUGUAUAGCUUGAGUGUCGGAGGGGAUAGCGGAAUUCCUAAUGUAGAGGUGAAAUUCGUAGAUAUUAGGAGGAACACCGGUGGCGAAGGCGGCUAUCUGGACGACAACUGACGCUGAGGCGCGAAAGCACGGGGAUCAAACAGG
rnacentral:rRNA from 1 species